UACGUAGGGGGCUAGCGUUGUCCGGAUUUAUUGGGCGUAAAGAGCGUGUAGGCGGCCAGGUAGGUCUGCUGUGAAAACUCGAGGCUCAACCUCGAGACGUCGGCGGAAACCAUCUGGCUAGAGUCCGGAAGAGGAGAGUGGAAUUCCUGGUGUAGCGGUGAAAUGCGCAGAUAUCAGGAGGAACACCGGUGGCGAAGGUGGGUCUCUGGGCAGUAACUGACGCUGAGGAGCGAAAGCGUGGGGAGCGAACAGG
rnacentral:rRNA from 1 species